GAUGAACGCUGGCUACAGGCUUAACACAUGCAAGUCGAGGGGAAACGACGGGGAAGCUUGCUUCCCCGGGCGUCGACCGGCGCACGGGUGAGUAACGCGUAUCCAACCUGCCUCUGACUUAGGGAUAACCCGUCGAAAGUCGGCCUAAUACCUCAUGGCAUCGUCUGCGGGCAUCCAACGACGAUUAAAGAUUUCAUCGGUCAGAGAUGGGGAUGCGUCUGAUUAGCUUGUUGGCGGGGUAACGGCCCACCAAGGCGACGAUCAGUAGGGGCUCUGAGAGGAAGGUCCCCCAGAUUGGAACUGAGACACGGUCCAAACUCCUACGGGCGGCAGCAGUGAGGAAUAUUGGUCAAUGGGCGAGAGCCUGAACCAGCCAAGUAGCGUGCAGGAUGACGGCCCUAUGGGUUGUAAACUGCUUUUAUGCGGGGAUAAAGUGAGGGACGUGUCCUUCAUUGCAGGUACCGCAUGAAUAAGGACCGGCUAAUUCCGUG
rnacentral:rRNA from 1 species